rnacentral:tRNA from 1 species
GAUCGUAUAACUUAGUUAGUCAGAGAGUUUGGACGAUAUCCAAAGAGGCGCAGGUUCAAGUCCCGCUACGUUCA